GGCAGCAGUGGGGAAUAUUGCACAAUGGGGGAAACCCUGAUGCAGCCAUGCCGCGUGUGUGAAGAAGGCCUUCGGGUGUAAAGCACUUUCAGUAGGGAGGAAGGUAGUGUAGUUAACACCUGCACUAUUUGACGUUACCUACAGAAGAAGCACCGGCUAACUCCGUGCCAGCAGCCGCGGUAAUACGGAGGGUGCGAGCGUUAAUCGGAAUUACUGGGCGUAAAGCGCAUGCAGGCGGCCUGUUAAGUCAGAUGUGAAAGCCCGGGGCUUAACCUCGGAAUUGCAUUUGAAACUGGCAGGCUAGAGUCUUGUAGAGGGGGUAGAAUUUCAGGUGUAGCGGUGAAAUGCGUAGAGAUCUGAAGGAAUACCAGUGGCGAAGGCGGCCCCCUGGACAAAGACUGACGCUCAGAUGCGAAAGCGUGGGGAGCAAACAGGAUUAGAUACCCUGGUAG
rnacentral:rRNA from 1 species